rnacentral:rRNA from 1 species
CAAUAGCGUAUAUUAAAGUUGUUGCAGUUAAAAAGCUCGUAGUUGGAUUUCUGGUGGGAGCGAUCGGUCUGGCGCUUAGCGCGAGUACUUGCAUCGUCUCCGGCCAUCCUUGGGGAGAGUCUGUCUGGCAUUAGGUUGUCGGGCAGAGGAUCCUCAUCGUUUACUGUGAAAAAAUUAGAGUGUUCAAAGCAGGCUUAUGCCGUUGAAUAUAUUAGCAUGGAAUAAUAAGAUAGGACUUUGGUACUAUUUUGUUGGUUUGCGCACCAAAGUAAUGAUUAAUAGGGACAGUCGGGGGUAUUCGUAUUCCGUUGUCAGAGGUGAAAUUCUUGGAUUUACGGAAGACGAACUACUGCGAAAGCAUUUACCAAGGAUGUUUUCAUUAA